rnacentral:lncRNA from 1 species
GGGCAACGAAAGGAAGGAAUGUUUCUGAGGAUUUUCAUGACGAACCCAAAGGGAGGCUGCGCUCGCCUGGCGGUUCUCGAGUGGGGCUUCUUUACUUCCGCGACAGGUGUCUAGAGACACCCCGGCUGUCAGGGCUGGGAAGGUGUGCUGCUGAGAAGGCGGGUGGAGGCCAAGCGUGGUUCAGCCGCUCAGUCGUGUCCCACUCUUGCAGCUCCAUGGAUUAGAGCUUGCCAGGCUUCUCUGUGGGAUUUCCCAGGCAAGGACACUGGAGUGGGUGCCAUUUCCCUUCUCCAGGCUGCUAAACAUCCUACGGGGCAAGCCCCUCCCCCACUCCCAAGAAUGAUCUGGUCCAAAAUGUCAGUGAUUCCCAGCCUGGGUGUUUUGGGGAGGGAAACUGAGACCCAGAAAGUGUGAAGAUCACACAGAGCAUUUUUGGUACUUGCGUAUAGGCUGUGGACGUACUAGGAACCUCACUCAUUUAUACUUGGUGUUUCCUUCCCUGCAGUGAGCCAACAGUUUUGAAAACAGAAGUCAGGGGAGGAAGGAAAGGCUUCCCUCUGGGGCUGUUGGGAGAAGGGACAGACUUCCCCUUCCGCAAACAUCCGUGAACUCCCCCUAGAAGGGAGCUUUCAGGAGUGUCUGUUGACUAAGGAAACAACACUCAAGGAAUUCCCCAGAAGGAACUGGUCCGUGAGAGCCCUGGGAGGCAGUGCUCUGAGAGCCUGGCCACAACAGUCUGUGUCCAGCACACUCUGGUUUGGGAGAAACCUGUCAUCCGGCCCAUCCAGGCACCGUCACCCCUGCCUCAGUGGUCCCUGGGAAGAUGCUUUCUCUGCAGACCCUGUGACCCCCCAGCCCCACGCGGACUUCCCAGUUCCACACAGGUGUGCCUCAGCCCCGGCUCCACGCGAGGCCCGCCGCUCAGAGGCAUCUUCCCUGCUGUGACUAUGUCUGGUUCUUCUUGGGACAAGUGGAUGCUGGUUCAUCUGGACGAGUCAAACAUGGACAACUCCCGGUGAGCUGAGCGGGGCAUCUCCACCUUGAAGACUGUGGUAGGAACGCCAGUCUUCCUCGUGGACUAGGUCACAGGGGUGGUGACGGUGCCUCCCUCCCUCCUGGGGCGCCCCUCAGCACCUGGAAGCAA